AUUGAACGCUGGCGGAAUGCUUUACACAUGCAGGUCGAACGGCAGCACGGGGGCAACCCUGGUGGCGAGUGGCGAACGGGUGAGUAAUACAUCGGAACGUGCCCAAUCGUGGGGGAUAACUACGCGAAAGCGUAGCUAAUACCGCAUACGAUCUACGGAUGAAAGCGGGGGAUCGCAAGACCUCGCGCGAAUGGAGCGGCCGAUGGCAGAUUAGGUAGUUGGUGGGGAAAGGCUCACCAAGCCGUCGAUCUGUAGCUGGUCUGAGAGGACGACCAGCCACACUGGGACUGAGACACGGCCCAGACUCCUACGGGAGGCAGCAGUGGGAAUUUGGACAAUGGGCGCAAGCCUGAUCCAGCCAUUCCGCGUGCAGGAUGAAGGCCCUCGGGUUGUAAACUGCUUUUGGACGGAACGAAAAGGCUUCGGUUAAUACCUGGAGCUCAUGAC
rnacentral:rRNA from 1 species